GCACAGAUUGCGAAGUUCCCCAGAGGGAGAGAAAUGGGAGUAGGUACACUCAGCCUGCAUAGUCACAGCGAUAUUUCUGGUCUCACAUGCUCUUCGAGGAUCUUGCUACUUCCCAUCAAGAAGUGGCGUCUAUCCCCUUGUACUAGGGUGGACCUUUAUGAUUGCCUCAACAAAAAAGGAAUAGAGUGGAAGUCAUGCUGUGUGACUUCCAAGAUGGGUCAACUAGCAGACAUGUGAAUGAGCCUUCAAAUAAUCCCAGCCCUCAGCCUUGGAGCGAAGACCAGGGCCAAGCCAGCGCUACAGUGCCCUGUGCGAAAUCUGUAAUGCAAAGACUCAGUGAGCAUACUAAAUGGUUGUGUUACAUCAUUGAGUUAUGGGGUAAUUUAUGACUCAGCUACAGUAGCCAGGUCACUAAGGACGCCAACUUAUCAGAAGAUUUCAUGUAGAAGGAGGGUGUUAUAAUGAGAAAACAUUAGACUAGGACCUGAGAGACUUGGGUUGUAA
rnacentral:lncRNA from 1 species